UACGUAGGAUCCGAGCGUUGUCCGGAUUUACUGGGUGUAAAGGGUGCGCAGGCGGAAUGGUAAGUCAGAGGUGAAAUCUCGCCGCUCAACGGCGAAACUGCCUUUGAUACUAUCAUUCUUGAAUCCGGUAGAGAUCUGUGGAAUUCCGAGUGUAGCAGUGAAAUGUGUAGAUAGUUCGGAAGAACACCAGUGGCGAAGGCAGCAGAUUGGGCCGGUAUUGACGCUCAGGCACGAAAGCAUGGGGAUCAAACAGG
rnacentral:rRNA from 1 species